CAGUCGCCGCGGGAAUACGGAGGGGGCUAGCGUUGUUCGGAAUUACUGGGCGUAAAGCGCACGUAGGCGGCUUGGUAAGUUAGAGGUGAAAGCCUGGAGCUCAACUCCAGAAUUGCCUUUAAGACUGCCGAGCUAGCAGGUGAGAGAGGUAAGUGGAAUUCCGAGUGUAGAGGUGAAAUUCGUAGAUAUUCGGAAGAACACCAGAGGCGAAGGCGGCUUACUGGCUCAUACUGGACGCUGAGGUGCGAAAGCGUGGGGAGCAAACAGGAUUAGAUACCCCGGUAGUCCCUGUUUCUUAUAC
rnacentral:rRNA from 1 species